rfam:Triticum aestivum genome assembly, contig: Triticum_aestivum_CS42_TGACv1_scaffold_145986_2BS
AUAGUACUCCCUCCGUCCGAAAAUACUUGUCAUCAAAAUGGAUAAAAAGGGAUGUAUCUAGAACUAAUAUACAUCUAGAUACAUCAUCUUCUAUCCAUUUUGAUGACAAGUAUUUCCAGACGGAGGGAGUAGCAC